UACGGAGGGUGCGAGCGUUUAUCGGAAUUACUGGGCGUAAAGCGUGCGUAGGCGGAUGCUUGAGUCGGAUGUGAAAGCCCUGGGCUCAACCUGGGAAUGGCAUUCGAUACUGGGCAUCUAGAGUGUGGUAGAGGGGGGUAGAAUUCCUGGUGUAGCUGUGAAAUGCGUAGAUAUCAGGAUGAAUUCCGAAUGCGACGGCGACCCCCGGGACCUACACUGACGCUGAGGUACGAAAGCGUGGGUAGCAAACAGG
rnacentral:rRNA from 1 species